rnacentral:misc_RNA from 1 species
GAUGAAGAACGUAGUGAAAUGCGAUAAGUAAUGUGAAUUGCAGAAUUCAGUGAAUCAUCGAAUCUUUGAACGCACAUUGCGCCCGGUAGUAUUCUGCCGAGCAUGCCUGUUCGAGCGUCAUUUCAACCAUCAAGCCCCAGCGCUUGUGUUGGGGGCCUGCGGCUGCCGCAGCCCCCCAAAAGCAGUGGCGGGCUCGCUAUCACACCGAGUGCAGUAGUUCAUCUUCUCUCCGGUCUUGUGAGGCGGGUUCCGGCCGUGAAACACCCCACUACAUUCAAGGUUGACCUCGGAUCAGGUAGGAAUACCCGCUGAACUUAAGCAUAUCAAUAAGCGGAGGA